rnacentral:rRNA from 1 species
CACGUAAGGAGCGAGCGUUGUUCGGAAUUAUUGGGCGUAAAGGGCGUGUAGGCGGUUACGUAAGACUGAUGUAAAAGGCACUGGCUCAACCAGUGAGUUGCGUUGGUAACUGCGUAGCUAGAGUUCAGAAGAGGGAAUUGGAAUUCCAGGUGUAGGGGUGAAAUCUGUAGAUAUCUGGAAGAACGCCAAAGACGAAGGUAAAUUCCUGGUCAUGGACUGACGCUGAGGCGCGAAAGCGUGGGGAGCAAACAGG